GACGAACGCUGGCGGCGUGCCUAACACAUGCAAGUCGAGCGGGGUUGAAGCGAGAGGUAACUCGAACUUCUACCUAGCGGCGGACGGGUGAGUAACGCGUGGGCAACCUGCCUCAAGGUCUGGGAUAACAGCCCGAAAGGGCUGCUAAUACCGGGUAUGCUUGUGGCCUCGCAUGGGGCUACGAGCAAAGGGGAAACCCGCCUUGAGAUGGGCCCGCGUCCCAUCAGCUAGUUGGUGAGGUAACAGCUCACCAAGGCGACGACGGGUAGCCGGCCUGAGAGGGUGACCGGCCACACUGGGACUGAGACACGGCCCAGACUCCUACGGGGGGCAGCAGUGGGGGAUCUUGCACAAUGGGCGAAAGCCUGAUGCAGCGACGCCGCGUGAGCGAAGAAGGCCUCGGUUGUAAAGCUCUGUCUGGAGGGACGAAGGAAGUGACGGUACCUCCGGAGGAAGCCACGGCUAACUACGUG
rnacentral:rRNA from 1 species